AAAGUUGUAGAAAAACACAUGCGCUAUGGAUCUUGGAGAAAAUUCUCGUAGUUUUUCUGUUCCUGUCUCGGCUUCAUUUCAUAGGAAGAGAAAACUCCGCAAACUAAGAAAGUCUGUUAUGGCUAUGCGAGUCGUGCGUUUACUGAAGUCAAUGAGGCGGCUUUGCGUUGAUCCAGCUGCGGCAGGAGUUGAACCGGGUCCUGUAGAGAUUUCAAUCGGCCCAAGGCAAUGAUAAGCGUCACUUUUUAUAUUUCACAGUUAUUUAUUGUACCUUUGCUGCUGUUAUUUUUAUUGUUGUCCGUAUGAUAUUGAGAUUUGUACCUCUUAUUCAGGAAAGCGCAAGAAAAUUUAAAUCCUUCUGAUCCGUCGUAUGAUUCACGACAUUUAAAAUUGAAGUUUUCAAACAACAUAAAUGGUCCAAUUUUUACUGGAAUCCCCAUAGGUGAAAAGGGCAGCACCUUAAAUCUACAUUUAAUUGACCCCCUUACUCAGAAUAUCAUCAAUUCUGGGCCUGAAUCAUCAGCAAAGGUGGAAAUAUUUGUCCUUGAGAAAGAUUUUACAAGUUGCGGUGGUGACAAGUCGCUGAUACGGGGAGAUCCUCAUGUCACCUUGAAAGAUGGAAGUGUUUCUGCAAGUCAUAUUUCAUUCAAACAUACCAGAGUGCCUAUGACAAAACGUGAGUUGAGACUAUGUGCAAGAGCUGUGUAUCCUUACAAUGGAACAAGAAUUAUGCAAGCAGUCACACAACCAUUCUUUGUGAAGGAU